rnacentral:lncRNA from 1 species
GUUCGUCGUGCGAGGAAAAGUCAGCGUGGUCAUGCUAUCAUAUAAUAUGGCUUUUAUUUGAUUCUGACCCCAAAAGGAACACCUUCAUGUGCAAACGUUUGACCUCAGUUGAACAGCUCCGGGUAAACAAGUCAUCGCAAAUGUCCCCUCCCUCAGUUCCAAACAGCUUGCAUCCCAUCAGCGCGCAUGUUUUGCCAGGACAGAUGACAGGAAAACAGUAUCAGCUCAUGUUCAUAAUAAGGUAGGUGUAAGAGGACUUUGCCGUUGACUUUUCCUUGUGGUCCUUCUUAUACUUCAUGCGACGGUUUUGGAACCAGAUUUUAAUCUGCCGGUCGGUGAGCUUCAGCAGCUCAGCCAUUUCAAGUCUCCGGUUGCGGCACAGCCUCACUUGUGGAUUUCCAGAGGCCCAUGACUGAAGGUCGCAGCUCUAGUUUUUGAUCAGCGGAGGACCAGCGGAAAUUAUUAACAUGCUACUUCAUAAUAACAUAUCACAUAACAUUACAUAAAAAUCUGUUUUUCUGUAUUGUUUAAAUGUCGUAACAUAUGACAAUAAAUGGAAUUUUAAAAAGCCAAAAAAAAAA